rnacentral:rRNA from 1 species
CUGACCGUGCGAAGGUAGCAUAAUCAUUAGUCUCUUAAUUAGAGGCUGGUAUGAACGGCUAAACGAGAAAAGGACUGUCUCUAGUAGAAUAAUUGAAAUUCAUUUUUAAGUGAAAAAGCUUAAAUUUCUCUGAAGGACGAUAAGACCCUAUAGAGCUUUAUUUCCAAAAAAUCAGAUCUUAUUAGAUGUAAUAAAAUUGAUUUUUAAAGAAAUUUUGUUGGGGCGACAGAAAGAUAACAUUUAACUCUUCAUUAUAUAAACAGCUAUCGCUGAAUCUUAGAUCCUUUAUGAAAGAUCAAAAGAACAAGUUACCUUAGGGAUAACAGCGUAAUCCUCUCCAAGAGUCCAUAUCGACGAAAGGGUUUGCGACCUCGAUGUUGGAUUAAGAAAUUGCUUAGGUGCAGCCGCUUAAGUAAAAGGU